rnacentral:rRNA from 1 species
CAGAGGGUGCGAGCGUUGUUCGGAAUUAUUGGGUUUAAAGGGUGCGUAGGCGGGUUGUUAAGUCAGUGGUGAAAGCUCCGAGCCUAACUCGGAAACUGCCAUUGAUACUGACGAUCUUGAGUACAUUUGAGGUGGGCGGAAUGUGUCAUGUAGCGGUGAAAUGCUUAGAUAUGACACAGAACACCGAUUGCGAAGGCAGCUCACUAAACUGCAACUGACGCUGAGGCACGAAAGCGUGGGGAGCAAACAGGAUUAGAUACCCUGGUAGUCCACGCCCUAAACGAUGAUCACUCGAUGUGUGCGAUACACUGUACGCGUCCGAGCGAAAGCAUUAAGUGAUCCACCUGGGGAGUACGGCCGCAAGGCUG